rnacentral:ncRNA from 1 species
UGAGCUUGGCUCUAGUCCGACUUUGUGAAGAGACAUGGCGGGUGUAGCAAUAAGUGGGAGGCUCGAUGUGCUGUUGCUGCCGUAUGUCGGGGACGUCGAUGAAAGACCACUCCCAUCAUUGUUUCUUUACUUAUUCAGUGAAGCGGGAUAAGCAAUGAACAAUAAACAUGUGUGUAAAGUAUUGGCAUUCAAGCACGUGUCAGCAUGUGGUCGUUCUUGCGCUCACGUGUUGGCAUCCUUGGUCGCAUCCGACUACUGGCUGUUCACUCAUUCAUUCAUUCAUCCGCUCACUGUCUGCCAGCCGUUGUCGUUAGUGGUGGGUGGUGGUGGCGGUGGUGAUGAUUGUGAUGGUGAUGAUGCCUAUCAUGGGUCGGAGUGGACGGCGUGCGACCCGAUCUGAAGACAUUGUCAGGCGGGGAGUUUGACUGGGGCGGUACAUCUGUCAAAUCGUAACGCGGGUGUCCCAAGGUGAGCUCAGCCGGGACGGAAACCUGGCGUGGAGUAGAAGGGCAAAAGCUCACUUGAUUUUGAUUUUCAGUACGAAUACAGACC